rnacentral:misc_RNA from 1 species
GUGAAUCAUCAAAUUUUUGAACGCAAAUUGCACUCUCUUCGGAGAGUAUGCCUGUUUGAGGGUCAGCCUACAAAAAAAUCUACAUAGUCGCUGUUUCUCGGUGACAUUCAUCGGAAAUUGGGUCAUCUUAAACCUGUGGGUUUUAGGCGGCGUAAAAUUUUCUUUACGAUUCCACGAACGUUUCUAAGAUUUACUUCUUAUACGUUGAAGGUAUCGAUCUUUCUUAGAAUUGUCCGUUUCAUCGGUUCUC